rnacentral:misc_RNA from 1 species
AGGAAGUGUCAAAGGAUCAAGAGGGGAUUGUAAAUAAUGUCAAGACACCGACAACCAGCAUCGUAAAAGUACGACGUCGGUAUCUAUAAAGUUGAAAAUUAUGUAUAUUUAGCAAUGCAUUAAAUGCAACUUAUUGAUAUUGCAGGCAUUAUGCAAAUUGCUUGUUAAAUUCUGUUAUUUUUGUUUCAACUUCCGUGUUCAAAAUAUCCUGUUCGAAAUGGGAGCACAAGGAUGACUCCAAGUGUCGUACUAGUAGAUAUGUUGAUGUCACUUAUAUUGUAAAGAUCAUUUGUCAGCAUUUAAUAGACAACUUUACUUCUUUAAAGAUGAUUUUUACUAAGGAAUACUGUGAAAUCGAGUCCGAAGGAAAAUAUUGUUUUAAGGAUAGAACAUUUUAAAAACUAGUUCCACCCACCAGCAUCCUGUACAUUAAAGGUAAUCUUUCCCAUACAAUUAAUUAAGUUAAUUUUCAAGCUAUUCCAUAGUGUAGCGAAUUUUCAUGUUAUUCCCUAACAAUGUUGUGAUCAGGGACGUAUAUACGUCCCUGGUUGUGAUACAUGUAUAUGAUCAUAUGAAGCAGUAUUAAAUUAACAAAUUAUAGUUCUUUUCAGUCUUUGCAUCUUAAAUGUGUUGGAAUGCUGUAAAUCUUUAAUCAUUAAAAUAUUGCGAGCCUUAGAACAUAUAAAAAACACAUUAAUCUUAUUCUUACUUUUUACUUAUAUCUGACAUCAUUAACAGUUGAAAACAUUUAUGUCGUACUCUGCUAACCUAUACAGAAAUUAAGUAUUGAUUAAACACACUAAGCCUUAGUAAUGUCAAUGAAUCAGAAAAUUAUUAGUAAC